CGAGGAGGCCAGGCGGCCGCCGGUCCCCGCGCAGCGCAGGCGGGGACGGGAGGAAAGUCCGGGCUCCGCAGGGCAGGGUGCCGGGUAACACCCGGUGGGGGCGACCCCGAGGACAGCGCCACAGAAAAGACACCGCCUCCCGCCUCGGCGGGCGGUAAGGGUGAAAUGGUGAGGUAAGAGCUCACCGCGCGACGGGCGAUCGUCGCGGCAUGGCAAACCCCACCCGGAGCAAGACCAAAUAGGAGGGCGACUCCGAGGCGGUUUUCGACGCCGGCGGGGGAAGGGCGGCCCGNNNNNNNNNNNNNNNNACCCGGCUUACGGCCUCCUCGGACG
rnacentral:RNase_P_RNA from 2 species